UAGUCGCCUCCUUUGCCAGGUGCCCUUUGCUUCCACCGCAAAUGGGUUAAACGGGAAACAGGUGCGCGCCAUUGCGCAAACCCUGUGCUGCCCCCGCAACGGUAAGCGAGUGUGGACGCAUCAACCACGCCACUGUGAACAUGUUCAUGGGAAGGCGAUGCGUCAAAACUCGUGAGCCCGGAGACCGGCCCGGCAAUUUUUUAAACC
rnacentral:ncRNA from 2 species